CAGCAGCCGCGAGAAUACAGAGGGUGCGAGCGUUAAUCGGAUUUACUGGGCGUAAAGCGUGCGUAGGCGGCUUCUUAAGUCGGAUGUGAAAUCCCUGAGCUUAACUUAGGAAUUGCAUUCGAUACUGGGAAGCUAGAGUAUGGGAGAGGAUGGUAGAAUUCCAGGUGUAGCGGUGAAAUGCGUAGAGAUCUGGAGGAAUACCGAUGGCGAAGGCAGCCAUCUGGCCUAAUACUGACGCUGAGGUACGAAAGCAUGGGGAGCAAACAGGAUUAGAUACCCGUGUAGUCCCUGUCUCUUAUAU
rnacentral:rRNA from 1 species